GCUCCAAGCCCAUUGGUCAAUGAGAAAGAUGAAAGGGAAAGGAGGCGGGGCCAGGCAGCUGUGUGUCAUGAAGGUCCUGUGAUGUCACAAGGAAAGCCGCCCAUGCAACUGCUGUCCCCGCCCACUCUGGGAGAGGGGCGGGGCUGGCUUUCACUUUCUAAACUUUAAAACUUUAUCACCUUAAUUGAGGUGACAGAGCCCUCAAGGGGACAGAGCCCAUGCUCAUAACCAGAAGGAGCCCUGGCAUUCCCUGGACGUGAAGCACUAUUUGUCCAUUCAGCAAGAAUUACUCAACCCCUAUCUGCCAACCCAGAGGCCCAGUGAUGAACAGGACCAAUCCAGUUCUUGCCCCCAUGAGGCCUUCAUUUUGAUGGAACAAUCAGGCUCAAGAACCUCUUAAGGAGUUGCUAAGAGGUUCCUGAAUGAGUGGGCCCAAUUAACUGCAGUCAAGUCUGCUGUGCUGAGGCCUGGCAAAUCAGAAUUUCUGGAUCAAUUUGGAAACUAAGACUAGAAAAGAUCUGUGUUUCGUCAUCUGGAACCCAGGGAGAGGGUGAGGCACGUGGAGUUCCUUGACCCCUCAUCUUGCUGAAGCAGCAAGCAUGGCUAUUUAGAGCCUGUCUGCUUUGCACAUCCCAUGAGAGUGCAGUCAACAUCUGCUAGCCAUAGAUAAGACAAACUCUGUGGUUAUAAAAGACCCAAACUUCUGCUGUUCUAAGAGCUCCAUGACCCGGAGACGCCCCACCUCACUGCUGAGCAACAUCUUCCCUGCCCAAGUGCCACUCAAUAAAGCUUGUUGUACAAUACUGUC
rnacentral:lncRNA from 1 species